UGGGGAAUUUUGGACAAUGGGCGAAAGCCUGAUCCAGCAAUGCCGCGUGUGUGAAGAAGGCCUUCGGGUUGUAAAGCACUUUUGUCCGGAAAGAAAUCCUUGGCUCUAAUACAGUCGGGGGAUGACGGUACCGGAAGAAUAAGCACCGGCUAACUACGUGCCAGCAGCCGCGGUAAUACGUAGGGUGCAAGCGUUAAUCGGAAUUACUGGGCGUAAAGCGUGCGCAGGCGGUUUGCUAAGACCGAUGUGAAAUCCCCGGGCUCAACCUGGGAACUGCAUUGGUGACUGGCAGGCUAGAGUAUGGCAGAGGGGGGUAGAAUUCCACGUGUAGCAGUGAAAGUGCGUAGAGAUGUGGAGGAAUACCGAUGGCGAAGGCAGCCCCCUGGGCCAAUACUGACGCUCAUGCACGAAAGCGUGGGGAGCAAACAGGAUUAGAUACCCUGGUAGUCCAGCGCCCUAAACGAUGUCAACUAGUUGUUGGGGAUUCAUUUCCUUAGUAACGUAGCUAACGCGUGAAGUUGACCGCCUGGGGAGUACGGUCGCAAGAUU
rnacentral:rRNA from 1 species